GACGAACGCUGGCGGCGUGCUUAACACAUGCAAGUCGAGCGGUAAGGCCCUUUCGGGGGUACACGAGCGGCGAACGGGUGAGUAACACGUGGGUGACCUGCCUCUAGCUCUGGGAUAAGCCCGGGAAACUGGGUCUAAUACUGGAUAUGACUCCAUGACGCAUGUUGUGGGGUGGAAAGCCUUGUGCGGCUAGAGAUGGGCCCGCGGCCUAUCAGCUUGUUGGUGGGGGAUGGCCUACCAAGGCGACGACGGGUAGCCGGCCUGAGAGGGCGACCGGCCACACUGGGACUGAGACACGGCCCAGACUCCUACGGGAGGCAGCAGUGGGGAAUCUUGCGCAAUGGGCGAAAGCCUGACGCAGCGACGCCGCGUGAGGGAUGACGGCCU
rnacentral:rRNA from 1 species